GCAUAUCAAUAAGGGGAGGAAAAGAAACCAACAGGGAUUGCCUUAGUAACGGCGAGUGAAGCGGCAAAAGCUCAAAUUUGAAAUCUGGCGUCUUCGACGUCCGAGUUGUAAUUUGUAGAGGUAGCUUUGGGUGUACAGCCAGGUCUAUGUUCCUUGGAACAGGACGUCAUGGAGGGUGAGAAUCCCGUAAAUGGCUUGGCCAGUGCCUAUGUAUAGCGCCUUCGACGAGUCGAGUUGUUUGGGAAUGCAGCUCUAAGCGGGUGGUAAAUUCCAUCUAAAGCUAAAUACUGGCGAGAGACCGAUAGCGCACAAGUAGAGUGAUCGAAAGGUGAAAAGCACUCCGGAAGGAGAGUUAAACAGCACGUGAAAUUGUUGAAAGGGAAGCGCUUGAGACCAGACUCAGGUAGGGUUGAUCAACCUCCAUUCUUGGUGGUGCACUCUUCUCUGCCCGGGCCAGCAACAGUUUUGGCGGUGGUAUAAAGGUUUAGGGAAUGUGGCUCUCUUCGGAGAGUGUUAUAGCCCUAUUCGUAAUGCUGCCUGUCGAGACUGAGGACCGCGCUUCGGCUAGGUUGUUGGCGUAAUGGUCUUAAGCGACCCGUCUUGAAACACGGACCAAGGAGUCUAACAUCUAUGCGAGUGUUUGGGUGGAAAACCCUUGCGCGUAAUGAAAGUGAACGGAGGUGAGAUCCCGCAAGGGCGCAUCAUCGACCGAUCCUGAUGUCUUCGGAUGGAUUUGAGUAGGAGCAUAGCUGUUGGGACCCGAAAGAUGGUGAACUAUGCCUGUAUAGGGUGAAGCCAGAGGAAACUCUGGUGGAGGCUCGCAGCGGUUCUGACGUGCAAAUCGAUCGUCAAAUAUGGGUAUAGGGGCGAAAGACUAAUCGAACCAUCUAG
rnacentral:rRNA from 1 species